rnacentral:rRNA from 1 species
UACGGAGGGUGCAAGGCGUUAUCCGGAUUCACUGGGUUAAAGGGUGCGUAGGCGGGCAGGUAAGUCCGUGGUGAAAUCUCUGAGCUUAACUCAGAAACUGCCAUGGAUACUAUUUGUCUUGAAUAUUGUGGAGGUGAGCGGAAUAUGUCAUGUAGCGGUGAAAUGCUUAGAUAUGACAUAGAACACCAAAUUGCGAAGGCAGCUCACUACACAGUUUAUU